ACCUGAAAUUAGACCCCACAAAGCAGCAUUCCAAUUUUCGUAUUUUAUUCCAAAAACAAUAAAAACCGAAAGUCCUAUGAUAAAUCCAGUAAAGCUGUAUACAAGUCUAACUUUAACCCCACAAGCUGGACAUGUACAUUCUUCUGCCAUUUUUUUUUAUGUACGGGACCAAGGAUUUGUAUAGUAAUCUUACUAUACAAAUCCUUGAAGGGACUGACACGCAAGAAAACCCGGGCCUUAUUGUUUUUUGCUGCUAUCGUGUUAAUAAAAAAGGGACGUUCAGAAUGCAUUCACUUAAACCGUAGUAAUUUUUCUAUGUACAGCAUUACCCAAAAUUUAUAAAAAAAGAAUUUCCGGAAAUAGUGCUCGAACUUGAUUAAUAUUUAGAUAUUCCCAUCCCAUUAUGGAACCACCAGCAUCAGUUGCAUCGCAUCAACAGAAAUGUAUGUACUACACCUAAACUAGAACUAGGCAUGCUUCUUGUUUGACAAAUGAACUGAAAGACCCC
rnacentral:lncRNA from 1 species